rnacentral:rRNA from 1 species
UACGGAGGGUGCAAGCGUUAAUCGGAAUUACUGGGCGUAAAGCGUGCGUAUGCGGCUUGCUAAGUCAGAUGUGAAAGCCCCGGGCUCAACCUGGGAACUGCAUUUGAAACUGGCAGGCUAGAGUUUGGGAGAGGAGAGUGGAAUUUCAGGUGUAGCGGUGAAAUGCGUAGAGAUCUGAAGGAACACCAGUGGCGAAGGCGACUCUCUGGCCCAAAACUGACGCUCAGGUACGAAAGCGUGGGUAGCAAACAGG